AGAUGGGACAACGACCAGGGACAGUGAAGAGGAAUAUCAGUCAGCUGGCUCCCACUGCUACAGCCCGCAGCCACACAGCUGGAAUACCCUCACCCUGGGCAGGGACUGCAGGCUCUCAGUCAGGGGCUGAAGGGCGGCCACGUGCUAGCCAUUGCAAACGCUCAGGGUACAUCCCUGCUGACCUUGCCCAAGACCAUGGAGAGGCAGCUGAGUCCUCAGUUUGAGGAAGACAGGAUAAGAGCCUGCUCCCGCUGGGAGAGCUGCUAGCGGCCAGUGAGAUGGAGAGGCCCGAGGAGGUCGCUGAUCAAUGGGGCGGAACGCACAACAGCAAACGCCCCCGCCGCGGCCAAUCAGCGACUGCCGCACACCUCUGCCUUGGCCAAUCCACAGCGGUCUUGCAGUUCCACCCCCUUACCUAGGGUGUGGGGAAGCUGGGGCGCCCCGUGCCCAACCUGGGGAGUGUCCAGAGCCUGUUCCUCCCCAGCACACCCCCGCGGUGUCCUUCAGCUCCAAACUAAGCAAAACAAAUGCCAGCCUCCUCCCUCUGACCCACAUGUCUCAACUCUGCCGCCUUACAGCGUUCAAGAGGCUUCUUCCAGUCACUGUCACUAUUGCACUGGCAAAGAGAGCAAAACUACUCUACCCUAAGGGCCAAGAAUAAGGCUGGCUCUUUUGCGCCUCCUUCAUUAUCUUCCAGUUGCCACUUUAAUUCUUCCCAGUGAGCCUUUUAAUUAGCACAGAGGUGAAACGGAAGUGUGUUCCCUGGAGACAGGAGUUGGUGUCUCUUGCGCCUGCUGCGAGGCCUCUGGGAGAUAGAGUUCUCUAGAGUCAAGAAUGCACGUGGAGCAAGUAUCUGGGGAGGAAGAAGCGCCAGGGUGGACAGACUUGUGUGAAGAACAGGAGAUAAAUGUCUUCUUUCUGG
ensembl:processed_transcript